AUUGAACGCUGGCGGCAGGCCUAACACAUGCAAGUCGAACGAGUGGCGGACGGGUGAGUAAUGUCUGGGAAACUGCCUGAUGGAGGGGGAUAACUACUGGAAACGGUAGCUAAUACCGCAUACCAUCGGAUGUGCCCCGAUGGGAUUAGCUAGUAGGUGGGGUAAAGGCUCCCCUAGGCGACGAUCCCUAGCUGGUCUGAGAGGAUGACCAGCCACAAUGGAACUGAGACACGGUCCAGACUCCUACGGGAGGCAGCAGUGGGGAAUAUUGCACAAUGGGCGCAAGCCGGAUGCAGCCAUGCCGCGUGUAUGAAGAAGGCCUUCGGGUUGUAAAGUACUUUCAGCGAGGAGGCGUUACUCGCAGAAGAAGCACCGGCUAACUCCGUGCCAGCAGCCGCGGUAAUUC
rnacentral:rRNA from 1 species